CCGAGAAUCAUGCCACAUAAUCUCCCACUAAUCAUGCCAUGUCAUCAUGAUUACCUUGCUAGUUGCCACUUGUUCAAAACAUCAAGUCCAAAAUUCAAAUUUAUCAAACAUACAAACUGAAAUGUUCAAAGUGUGGCAAAUAUUCCAGAACUAAUUAUGGUGGUGACCCCACAUUUUUGUAAAGUAUUAAAAUGCCCUUUUGUGAAUAUAAAGUGGGUUUAACAAUUAAUUAAAUGCCUUUUCUAAUUUAUAAAAUAUUGAACUAUUUUAUUUGAGCCAAACUUUUUCUGCCAUCUAAGGACAUUGUCUAGUAUUUAUAUGACAUGAUUCACAUUUUACAAAAAUUGUUUGGUGGGUCAACUAAAUGCAAAACAGGAGCUCAAAAACAAACAGCCACGAAAUUGAAAAACAAAGGUAAAAAAAAGCAAAAGGAAACAGCCCACCCCCUUGUCCCCAUGGGCCUUAGCUCACCCAGCCGGCCCAACAUCUCAGCCAGCCCACCUACCCCAUCGGUCUCCUUCGCCUACUGUUCUCCUGGCGCGACCGCUACAGGGACACGUCCCUGUCGGACCAGCUCGCCGGCGCCGCCCCGAGGGGAUAAGGGCGCCGUCCCCUCGACGCCUCGAGCCCUCCCGUCCACUCACCACUCCCCACUUGCGCCCCCUCGCUCUCUCUCUUGCCCACGCACUCGUCACCUCCUCCAGAUCCAUCGCCGAGCACGGUCGUUGCCGCUCGCCUCACUCUGCCAUGGCCAGCAGGCACAUCUCGCCUCGCCGUUGCGUCCACAAAGACCGCCGUCGUCCGCUGCGUCUACUAUGGAGACGAAACGAGCCGGAACCCCUUCCAUCGUUGAGCCGGCCCUCUGCUUCCACCUCCGGCCACCGAAGGCCGCCGCCGUCGUUCUGCUGCACCGAGCCUCCCCCGAGCCCGCUCAUGCACAUCUGCAGGUCCGCGGUGAGCAACAACGUCGAUCCCCCUUCUUCCCUGUCGUUUACCGUGCCUGUAGACCUCGUUGCCGUCAUGGUCGAACCUGCAACCGCCGACGAGCUUGCCGUCGUGGCCUCAGCCGCGGUCGCGUGCGCACGAGCUCACUGUCGAGCUCCUGCGAUUCCCAAGGAGCCCGACGUGCGCACGCACGCAGCCCCAUGAACCCCCCUUGCCCCCUGCGCUCGACCUCACCGAGCUCCAGCUUCGGCCGCCCCGGCCCCGUUCUGCGCGCUCACGCGUACGCCGUGCAGCGCCGCGCCCGCCGCCCAGCUCGUGUGCAUGCAGUUGCUGCUCUACUGAAUGUACUGCUGCUGCUGAAUGUGACUGUAGCUAUAUGGCUAGCUUUAGGAAUUUUACACUGACUAACCUCCUAGACAGCCUCUAAACUGCUGUUAAUUAACUGUUGACAAGACUAAAAUAAAUAUAGGUAGAAAGUACAGUUAACAAACUUCAUUUUACCCCACUAGACCAAAUCCAUUUGAUGUGUGGUUUAAAUGCUAUGAAAAUCACAAAUUGCUACCUUCGGUCAAUAGAGAACAUAAUUAACACCUAGCAUAGUGUGCUGCGUGUCGUGUGUGGUCUGUGCGUGUGUGCACAACCAGCCUCACGGCUGUGCCACCAGGCCGGCCCUUGUUUAGUUUAGUUGGUAAUACUUUAGUGCUCAAUUAGUAUAACAACAAAUGACAAGUGGUCCCCUCUGUUUAUUAGCUUUAGUUAGUUGUUCUAAAAAGGCUAAGUCUAUGAUAAAUGGGCCCCGCUGUUAAUUAAGCAAGGUUUCCUAAAACUACUAAACUUAGAGUCAAUGACAUGCGGGCCCACUUCUACUAUUCAUCGGUUGACUAGUCUCUGUUGACCUGGUCAACUGGGCCCUCUGGCCCCAUCUGUUAGCCACAUAUGCACAAUGUUGGGUACACUUCUGUGUACCCGUAGCAUUUACUGUAUAUUUUCAAAAUAAUAAUAAUUUUAAAAAUCAUUUAAAACUUUGAAAUUCAAUUUAAGAUAAUCCGUAAAUCGGAUGAAAAAGUUUUACACAUGAAAGUUGCUCAGAACGACGAGACGAAUCCGAGUACACUCUCCGUUCAUCUGUCACGUGCCCCUAUCAUAGAGAACAUGCAACUUUCCCCCUCCGUUUCAUCUGUCCGAAAAAUGCAAACUUCGGGAAAACAUUCCCGGAUGUUAUCCCCCUUCGCCGGUAACGUGUAGCACCACGUUAGAACGCAUCUAGCUCCGCCUGUUGUCCUGUUAUGCUCUUGCUUGCUAUGUAUUUACUGUUUCUCCCCCCUCUUCUCCCCGGUAGACCCUGAGACUGCCGCUGAUGCCGCUAUGUUCGAGUACAUCGACGACGACCCCUCCUUGCCAGAGCAACCAGGCAAGCCCCCCCUUUGAUCAUCCCGUUAUCGCCCAUUCCAUUCUCUCAUGCUUGCAUUAGAUUUUGCUAUUGUUAUUGUUUGCUCCUAUUCUGAUGCAUAGCCUCCUUUUUUAACCUGCUUAUUGUUACCUUACCGGCUUAUCCUAAACUGCUUAGUAUAGGUUGGUUAGUGAUCCAUCAGUGACCCCCACCUUGUCCUUGUUGCCCCUGCUUCAUCAUUGGAGACCCGAUCAACGGGAUCAAAGACCAGGCCCCGGCACCGCACAUCACUUUCCCCUUAGUUGCUCGACACUACUGGGAUACUAUCGAGUGCCGAGGGUGAGACCUCUACAACACUUCUGAUGUUAACCCUGUAGUGUAGCUAUUCGGUCGUGGUCAUCGAGGGUGAUUUCCUCUUUAACCACUUCCGAUACGACUCUGUCGUGCAACCCCUCAAGUGUGAACCUCGAGGGUGAUUCCUCUACGUUCACCUUGAUGAUUACAUUGAGUGGAACCCACCGAGGGUGAUUCCUUGGGUUUUCCUCUUGAUGUUUGGACACACGGAUACUUGGACUUUACAACUGUUACUUGGAAAGAGAUGUGGAGACGGGUUGACCUGGAAGGUGCCCGUGAGAUAAUUACGAGGCGUGGCCGGGCAUUCUUAGCCCUUGCCGCAAGUCCUCGAGACGGGGCAACGGGGUCACCUCUUUCGUGAGUCUCUGCUUGUUACCGCGCGUUCCUAAUCCACUACGAUUUGGAUAUUUGAUCCGAGGGGCCUCUGGCCUGAUAGCACUAACCAUCACGUGGGCAUAGUAUGGGCGUUCUGCGUCGUAUACAUCAGCCAAAGCUUAAUAGACGUCAGCGACUGAGUGGCGCGCGCCGGGUUGGACUGCGCAAGCGCCUGCCUUGUUGAAGGAGGUAGCUAGGUCUGCUCACCGGCCGCGUACGCAACGUGCAGGAGUUUCCGGGGAGAUGGCCCAUGACCCCUGGGGGCAUAGGUUUAGUCCGGCGUGCUGACCUCUCUGUUAAGUCUAGGUCGGGUUGCGGCGUAUUGUUUGGCCGAGGCCGGGCAUGACCCUGGAAAGUGUGUUCGGCCGGAGUCAAUCGAGCGUGGUGGGUAAGUUGGUGCACCCCUGCAGGGAAGAACUAAUCUAUGCAUAGCCUGUCCUACGGUAACGGACACUUGGAGUUGUAUCCCGAUCGAUACAACUAGAACUGGAUACUUGUGAUGAGAACUGGAUGGUGAUGAGGAUUUGAUUGAGAUGAUAAUUGGAUAGUAUGGCUCUGGGAUUGCUUUCUCGCAGGGAGUCGAGAAAGGAUCUCUGGCCGAGGUUGAUAACACUACUACUACUUUACCUUAUGCUACUCUACUCCCUCUUGUUUGCUGCAAGAUGGUGGUUUCCAGAAGAUGCUAGUCUUCGAUAGGACUAGACCUUCUCUCUAUUCUGGCAUUUCUGCAGCCCAGUCCACAUAUACAGCCUUCCUUUGAUAAUGUUGCAUAUGUAGUGUAGAUCCUUGCUUGCGAGUACUUUGGAUGAGUACUCACGGUUGCUUUGCUCCCCCUUUUCCCCCUUCUUUCUUCUUUCUGGUUGUUGCAACCAGAUGGUGGAGUUCAGGAGCCAGAUGCCACCUUUGACGACGGCUGCUACCCCGAGGGUGCCUACUACCACGUGACGGACGCCGACGACCAAGAGUAGUUAGGAGGCUCCCAGGCAGGAGGCCUUGCCUUUUCGAUCGUAGAUGCUUUUGUGCUAGCCUUCUUAAGGCAAACUUGUUUAACUCACAUCUGUGCUCAGAUAUUGUUGCUUCCGCUGACUCGUUUGUUUUCAAGCUGAUGUAUUCGAGCCCUCGAGGCCCUUGGCUUGUAAUAUAAAGCUUGUAUUAUUUUAAUUUGUGUCUAGAGUUGUGUUGUGAUAUCUUCCCGUGAGUCCUUGAUCUUGAUCGUACACAUUUGCGUGUAUGAUUAGUGUAUGAUUGAAUCAAGGGCGUCACAAGUUGGUAUCAGAGCCAACUGCCUGUAGGUAGCCCCCUUUCCAACUCCUUGGCCGAAGUUGAGUCUAGUCAAUGAAAGACUUUUACUAACUUGGUUGUGUGGCUUACGGGCCCACAUCGCCAUUGGGUGGUAUUAGGAUCAUUUAUUCCUUUUCCUUACUCUGGGAUUCCGAUCUCUCGUCUAUUCGGGUUAAACAUUUUACUAACUCUGACAUUAGGUUCUCGUACCCACUUCCUCCCGGGGAGCCCCGACAUUACCACUGAUCGCUUGCUUUGCCAGAAGUUUCUGCAGAUACUCCUUAAUGUUUUUCGAGACCCUGUGCCCACUGCCUUGCAGUUCCUGACCACAGAUAAUCCCCGUGAAUGACAUCCUUGCCGCUUGUACCUUCAUACCCAGUUGCUCCUAUUAUUACAAGAUGUACUCUCCGGUGUUUCGAGAAUCCUUUGUGCCUUCUGCCUUGCGGUUUCUUUUUGCACUACGGAUAAUUCGCCGAACCCGUUCAUCCCCAGUUGUUCACAUGAUUUCCAAAAUACUUGGAAAUACUAUGUGAUCUUCCAAAAAAUCCUCUGCAGCCUAUUGCUCUUGAUUUUCCUUGCCUGCUUGCAUUAGGAUUAAUUCCAUAUGUCUAGCAAUAUUCUUUAAAAUUCUUUGUGGCUGUCAUUCUAAUCCUAUGGAUUCAACGUGUGAGCAAAUACUCGCAAUCAUCAAUUAAUCCUUGGAAAUUUUCUUUCCGGCUUCGACAUCGCUCCGGUUAUGAGCUGGUUCUUGCCCAAUCAAGACUUGAUCGGGGCCAUAUUUAAGUCUAUUCAACUUACUCACCUUUUGAUCAGAGCCUCUGCUUCUGAUCCUUCGACUUGAAAUCAUAACUCCUUUGUACUCAAGCAUCAAAUUAUUCAGAUGUUUCUAUAACCCGCUGUCUUUGCAUUCUUUCUUCUUCUGGGUGAGUAUCGAUACUCACAUCAGAUCUUUUAUGGACCACCAUAUCCUUGGUUGGAUUAUUAUCCGACAAUGUAUUUCAUAUUCAUUAAACUUGUGAGUUUUGCCCUGACACAUAAUGCCUUUGGUAAAUUCUAUCAUCUGCUUUUGUCAACCAUGCUCUGCUUUCGAGCUGGUAUAUUUUAAUCCUGAAGUUAGUGGUAUAUGUUCCUAAGAUACCCCUACGGGUUGAACCUAUGCCUUCACUAAUCCAUGUGAACUCGAAAGAGAUGUGAGUCAUACUCUUCUGGUGCUUCACCAGGUAAAUCUUUCGCACUACAAUUUCUUCGAAAACGAGGAGUGAAUGAAAGGUUAUGCAUUGAAGAAGUGGGAGUCGACCUUGAACUUUGUGUUCAUGCCCAUGGACACGAGGUAGAUCUUAUCAUGGAAGCUUCUCUUAAAAUUAAUUAUCUCCUUGGUAUAAGUUCAUCUUAUUUCUGGGUUUUGGUCCUUUGCAACCGUGGACCCGACCAUGAUUAGUCUCCCUUGAUUCCAUUUCUCAGGCAAGUUAAAGCACUUGUCUUUUGCAGGUCAAUGUAUCCCCGCAACCUCUAUUUUGAUCUUCCUUCGGGUAUUACCCUUCGGUAUCUCGAGAAUAUCAAAGAACUGUGUUGCUUCCUAUUAGUCUCCAUCUAGUAUUGCUACUCACCGAUUUCAUUUCCCCCCAGGAUCUGAGUUUUUAAUCACUCAAGGACACCGGUAAGUGAAUCGGUUGGAUCGAUUCCGCACUCCGAUUCUAUAACUAAGUAAUUUUCAUUACUUCCGAGUUUAAUAAUCCUUCAAGUCAUUCCUAGCCUGGUCGUCUAUGUCAAUAUCGUGCCAAAUUUUAACUGUGCUGCCUGGUUCUUCUUCCCGGAGCACAAUUUUGACGAUGAGCUAAGCCUACAUCGACUUUCCUUGUCAUAUCAUUUUGUCUUGAAUAGCAAGCUUAAUUUCGAGUUUGUGUCAUACCCGUGGUUCCAAUAACCUUUCGCUUCAUCAUUCCUUUGACUUGAUGUCAUCGCCGAUCGAUUACAUCUUCAUUAAAUCUCUCGACAAAUGUUUCGUGAUCAUCAUCAACAUUCUGAGCUCUUCCAGGAUAUCAAUCGAAUUCAUGAUGAGAAAUACAAUCCUUGCCCCUCGAUGAUUUAAGUUAUCAUCGAUAACAUUCUUGCCCUCCCCAACACAAACUUGUUCACAUAAUUUUGGUAAUACACCCUUUUUGACAUGUCGAUGGAUUGUUGCUGAGCCCGUCGGCCACACCCUCAUCUUUUCUUUGCUGAAAUUGUAUGACUUAUUUUCUAAGUUGUUUCCGAUGGAUCCUUUGUGUAUCUGAAGUCCGACCUUUCCCUGAUGACCAUGUCAACACUAUCCCGGAACAUGUGUGUGGUACUCCGAUCAUCAACAAGAACAUUGGGAGUGCAAUGCUAACUAUUCUUGAUCAAUUAUCCAAUCACCAUUGUAUGUGUAAACCUCAUAAAUUCCUUGCCCCUUUGUCUAAACGGUUUAAUACUUGGAGUCCAAUCAUGCUCUUCCUUUCUUUGGGAAAGUUAUACUCUAAUACUUGGGUAUAAACAUCUUUCCUUUCCAUUGGUCUAAUUAUCAUAAUAAUCACAUAUUCCUUUCCAUUGUUUUGUUUAACCUAUCUUGUGAUCCAUAUGUUCUAAGCAGUAAUAGUUCCCGGCUUAUGUAAACACCUCAGUGUACAAUUGGUCAGUAAGACCUUGUUAUUAUUGCUGUUGACAUUCCGGUAACCAUCGAUGGACGAGAACUUCGCCUAUUGGUCCGCCUCGUUUAAUCGAGCAAGAAAAUGGUUCUCUUCGUCCCUCGCCCUUGGUACCAACGUUGUUGGCGACAUAACUGACAGACUAUCCCCUGACAUGCCUUUCCCUCAUGACCGUGCAAGAUGUCACCACCCUUCCUGCAUUUAACCCACAUGGUGGGCCCAUAACCCACAGUUCCACUGGAUCGAAACCUGACUCUCCUGUACAUCCUUAAUUCCGAAGUAUCCUUUGCUCUUAACCUUGUGUGUUAUCAUGAGCCACCCUCUGAGAGAUGAUCUAUUCCCAAUGCUCUGAGCCCCCCUUCUCAUACUCUGUUCAGGUAUCGAUCGUUUGUACAUUCACAUGAAACUUCCUAUUGUACCUUCAUACUUUGCUCUUGAUGUUUUCUGAAGUUUCGACUCGAGAGAUACUUCUGCCACAUUCCCUUAAUUGUUCACGAGAUGAUUAACCCUAUAAAGAUUAGUCCNNNNNNNNNNCACAGUAAUCUCCCACUAAUCAUGCCAUGUCAUCAUGAUUACCUUGCUAGUUGCCACUUGUUCAAAACAUCAAGUCCAAAAUUCAAAUUUAUCAAACAUACAAACUGAAAUGUUCAAAGUGUGGCAAAUAUUCCAGAACUAAUUAUGGUGGUGACCCCACAUUUUUGUAAAGUAUUAAAAUGCCCUUUUGUGAAUAUAAAGUGGGUUUAACAAUUAAUUAAAUGCCUUUUCUAAUUUAUAAAAUAUUGAACUAUUUUAUUUGAGCCAAACUUUUUCUGCCAUCUAAGGACAUUGUCUAGUAUUUAUAUGACAUGAUUCACAUUUUACAAAAAUUGUUUGGUGGGUCAACUAAAUGCAAAACAGGAGCUCAAAAACAAACAGCCACGAAAUUGAAAAACAAAGGUAAAAAAAAAGCAAAAGGAAACAGCCCACCCCCUUGUCCCCAUGGGCCUUAGCCCACCCAGCCGGCCCAACAUCUCAGCCAGCCCACCUACCCCAUCGGUCGCCUUCGCCUACUGUUCUCCU
rnacentral:lncRNA from 1 species